UACGGGGGGGGCAAGCGUUGUUCGGAAUUACGGGGCGUAAAGGGCUCGUAGGUGGCCAACUAAGUCAGACGUGAAAUCCCUCGGCUCAACCGGGGAACUGCAUUUGAAACUGUUCGGCUCGAGUCCGGGAGAGGGUAGUGGAAUUCCCAGUGUAGCGGUGAAAUGCGUAGAUAUUGGGAGGAACACCGGUGGCGAAGGCGGCUACCUGGACCGGUACUGACGCUGAGGCGCGAAGGCCAGGGGAGCAAACGGG
rnacentral:rRNA from 1 species